rnacentral:miRNA from 14 species
AGUCAGUUCUGUAUUUGAGAAAGAAAAAAUAAUAAAUAUAUAUAUAUAUACAUAUAUAUAUAUAUAUAUAUAUAUGUAUAUAUAUAUAUAUUUAUUAUUUUUUCUUUCUCAAAUACAGAACUGACU